rnacentral:lncRNA from 1 species
CUUCUCCUCCACGUUCGCCUUCUCCUGGAAAUAGAUCACCAUAUUCUGCUUCAGACUCAACUUUUUCCCCAAAGAGUGCAAAGUCCAGUGACCUCCCUUCAUAUUCUAUACCAGAAAAGAAAGAAUACCCUGUUGACCCCUCCUUGCCUGACAUAAAAAACGACAUAUAUUCUUCAGAUGAAUUCAGGAUGUUCUCAUUUAAGAUCAGACCUUGCUCUCGUGCAUACUCGCAUGAUUGGACUGAAUGUCCAUUUCUCCAUCCAGGCGAAAAUGCUCGAAGAAGGGAUCCAAGAAAAUACCACUACAGUUGUGUACCUUGCCCUGAGUUCCGCAAGGGAGCUUGCCAACGUGGGGACAUGUGUGAAUACGCUCAUGGGGUCUUUGAGUGUUGGCUGCACCCUGCACAAUAUCGAACUCGGCUUUGCAAAGAUGGUAUAGAUUGUAACAGAAGAGUUUGCUUCUUU